UACGUAGGGUGCGAGCGUUAAUCGGAAUUACUGGGCGUAAAGUGUGCGCAGGCGGCCGAGCAAGUCGAGUGUGAAAGCCCGAGCCUUAACUUGGGAAUUGCGCUCGAACUACUUGGCUGGAGUGUGGCAGAGGAAGUGGAAUUCCAGGUGUAGCGGUGAAUGCGUAGAGAUCUGGAGGAACACCGAUGGCGAAGGCAGCCUUCUGGCCAACACUGACGCUCA
rnacentral:rRNA from 1 species